rfam:Rhizophagus irregularis DAOM 197198w jcf7180003193568, whole genome shotgun sequence.
GCUCAGUUAAUUCAAUUGGUAGAACACUUGAUAAUAUACUUUUUAUCAUAGAGAUGCAGGUUCGAUUCCUGCACUGGGUC